GAUGAACGCUAGCGGCAGGCUUAAUACAUGCAAGUCGAGGGGGAUUAUUUUUGUAGCAAUACAGAGAUAUGAGACCGGCAAACGGGUGCGGAACACGUACGCAACCUUCCCAAAACUGGUGAAUAGCCCUCCGAAAGGAGGAUUAAUACACCGUAACAUAAUGAAGUGGCAUCACUUUAUUAUUAUAGCUCCGGCGGUUUUAGAUGGGCGUGCGCCUGAUUAGGUAGUUGGCGGGGUAACGGCCCACCAAGCCUGCGAUCAGUAACUGGUGUGCGAGCACGACCAGUCACACGGGAACGGAGACACGGGCCCGACUCCUACGGGAGGCAGCGGUAAGGAAUAUUGGUCAAUGGACGAAAGUCUGAACCAGCCAUGCCGCGUGCAGGAUGAAGGCCUUCGGGUUGUAAACUGCUUUUGUACGGAACGAAAAGACUUCUUCUAAUAAAGGGGGUCCAUGACGGUACCGUAAGAAUAAGCACCGGCUAACUACGUGCCAGCAGCCGCCGCCGUAA
rnacentral:rRNA from 1 species